AUGAGUUAAGUAUAAACCCCUUUACAAGUAUCAAUUGGAGGGCAAGUCUGGUGCCAGCAGCCGCGGUAAUUCCAGCUCCAAUAGCGUAUAUUAAAGUUGUUGCAGUUAAAAAGCUCGUAGUUGGAUUUCUGUUAAUAAUUUAUAUAAAAUAUUUUGAUGAAUAUUUAUAUAAUAUUAACAUAAUUCAUAUUACUAUUUUUUUUUUUA
rnacentral:rRNA from 1 species